rnacentral:lncRNA from 1 species
GCAUAUGAUAAUUUUAGUUUAUUACUCUCAUCUCUCUAGAUCUUUUUUUUUUCCUUCUUAUUACCCCAUCUGGGAACUCAGCCGCAUUUAGCAUAGGUCACGACUGACUCCAGAUUUGAGUUAAGUAACCAAGAAAACAGCUGAAAGCAAUGUGGGUUACCUAGAACUCAUAUAUUGGAUCCAGAAUUUUUGGCAUUUGUUUCCAUGUUUGUAAGUUUAGAAAAUCUAAAAUUAUGUUCGGUUUCCUCUAAUCUAUCAUUCCCAGAAUCAAUUUUUACAUUUAUUCUCCAGGUUUCUGGUGAUAUAAAUUAGUCAAUUCUUGUAAUUUGUUGUUGUUGUAUAUUCCAUGGUUUGACUUUGUAACUUAUCUUAAAGGGCAUGUUGGAAUAUGUCUUUAGUCGUGAGUAUGGAAGCAAGGAGGAGAGAGGCUUGGGGGGAAUUGGCACCCCUUGAGAAGCAACUACCUUAGGUGAGGUAUUUGAAAGUCAAGGCUCCUGUAUUGUCAGGAACAGACUUAACUUAAUGGACGAGGAAACUAUUUCAUCUGGCAAGAGAGGCUUAGUAGUUUUAAGGGUUUUGGGUAUCAGUGGACUCCAUUCUAACUCUUAGGACCCCACUGUUUCUCAAUCAGCUCCUUAACUGCUGCUUAACAGAGGGCUGUGAAAGCAACCUACUUCGCAAUUGGGCAAAUUCUGUCUGAGUUUCAAUAGUCUCGGCCAAACAACUGCAAGAUAUAGAGGACUCUUUUUUAAGGUAGUCAUAGAAACCCUUUAAUCGUGAUUGUGCCUUGAGCUGAUGACUUUAAUAUUGAGCUUGAGAUUUUCUUUCUUUAAGCUUUCCUGUGUGGAAGCAGGAGUCACUCAGUCUUGCCUAUAGAAGGUUACCUCAUUCCAGGUUACCGCAGGUGAUCAAGGAACACUUUCGUCCCAUGUAAGAUGAACCACCAGUCCUGUAAUGGUAAUAGAAUUGUCACUGCUUUCAAAUCCAACUGAGGAAGAAAAGUUAGUCAAAGAUUCUUACUUCUUUGUGUAUCUGUUGACAGCAGAAUCUUUGGCCUUAUUCUGCGGUUUACUGUUCUUAGUUUGAAUCCGCUCUUGCUAGUUGUAACAGAAAGGGCUUUGUUAAAGGAUGUUAAGUAGCUCACAGAAUUUCUGCAACGACCAGAUAAUCAGGCUUUGACAUUACAAAUGCAAACAUAUUUCAAGUUCUACCAAUUAUAUUUAAAGGAAUCCAACCUGUCCCAAUUUCAGGGCCCUAAUACGAUUUCCUUUUAUCCUGAUGGUAAUUUCCAAUGAAGACAGUUUUGCAGAUAUAUGUUAUCCAGUGGUUUCCUUAAUCCCUUUGGCUUAUGUUACUAUUAUAAGGGUUAGGCAAAGAUAAUAAAACUAAAAGGCAAAUCCUACACUCACCUUUAAUUGGCAAGGAAACAUUGCAUAAAAUGUUUUAUAAAUACUAUCCUAUAACAACAGGAUUGUAGCCAGCAACUUACAUAUUUGUUCUUGCUUUUCCCUAAAAAGACUGGCAAUUGAUUCUGAUUUACCUUUAGGUAAACUUUUGCUUUUGGUAGUAAGCAGACGUUUUUUGCGCUGAGGUUGAAGAGUUGGUGGUUUUACUUUUAAUUUUUAAGGAAAAUAACUACCCUAGUGCCUUUUGAUUGUCUGGAAACCCAAGUCCUGUUUUAUUAAAGCCAAUUCUUCAGUAAAAGAACAUUGGCAAAGGACUAUUUUCUGUACUUCUUUCAAAAUGACCUUGGGGUCCCAUGCAUAAAGUUUUUGGAAUUUAAAAAAAAAA